rnacentral:rRNA from 1 species
GACGAACGCUGGCGGCGUGCUUAACACAUGCAAGUCGAGCGGUAAGGCCCUUUCGGGGUACGACGAGCGGCGAACGGGUAGAGUAACACGUGGGUGACCCGCCCUCAGCUCUGGGAUAAGCCUGGGAAACCGGGUCUAGUACUGGAUAUGACUCCAUGACGCAUGUUGUGGGGUGGAAAGCCUUGUGCGGCUGAGGAUGGGCCCGCGGCCUAUCAGCUUGUUGGUGGGGUGANGGCCUACCAAGGCGACGACGGGUAGCCGGCCUGAGAGGGCGACCGGCCACACUGGGACUGAGACACGGCCCAGACUCCUACGGGAGGCAGCAGUGGGGAAUCUUGCGCAAUGGGCGAAAGCCUGACGCAGCGACGCCGCGUGAGGGAUGACGGCCUCGGUGUAA